GAUGAACGCUGGCGGCGUGCCUAAUACAUGCAAGUCGAGCGAAGCGGGGACGGGUGAGUAACACGUGGAUAACCUCAUUUAAGACUGGGAUAAAUUCGGGAAACCGGAGCCAAACCGGAUACUAAUAGAUGGAUCCGUGCUGCAUUAGCUAGUUGGUAAGGUAUCGGCUUACCAAGGCAACGAUGUAUAGCCGAGCUGAGAGGGUGAUCAGCCAGCCUGGAACUGAGAAACGGUCCAGACUCCUACGGGAGGCAGCAGUAGGGAAUCUUCCGCAAUGGGCGAAAGCCUGACAGAGCAACGCCGCGUGAGUGAUGAAGGUCUUCGGAUCGUAAAACUCUGUUAUUAGAGAAGCGGUACCUAAUCAGAAAGCCACGGCUAACUACGUGCCAGCAGCCGCGGUAAUAC
rnacentral:rRNA from 1 species